CUAUACAUGCAAGUCGAGCGAAUGGAUUAAGAGCUUGCUCUUAUGAAGUUAGCGGCGGACGGGUGAGUAACACGUGGGUAACCUGCCCAUAAGACUGGGAUAACUCCGGGAAACCGGGGCUAAUACCGGAUAACAUUUUGAACCGCAUGGUUCGAAAUUGAAAGGCGGCUUCGGCUGUCACUUAUGGAUGGACCCGCGUCGCAUUAGCUAGUUGGUGAGGUAACGGCUCACCAAGGCAACGAUGCGUAGCCGACCUGAGAGGGUGAUCGGCCACACUGGGACUGAGACACGGCCCAGACUCCUACGGGAGGCAGCAGUAGGGAAUCUUCCGCAAUGGACGAAAGUCUGACGGAGCAACGCCGCGUGAGUGAUGAAGGCUUUCGGGUCGUAAAACUCUGUUGUUAGGGAAGAACAAGUGCUAGUUGAAUAAGCUGGCACCUUGACGGUACCUAACCAGAAAGCCACGGCUAACUACGUGCCAGCAGCCGCGGUAAUACGUAGGUGGCAAGCGUUAUCCGGAAUUAUUGGGCGUAAAGCGCGCGCAGGUGGUUUCUUAAGUCUGAUGUGAAAGCCCACGGCUCAACCGUGGAGGGUCAUUGGAAACUGGGAGACUUGAGUGCAGAAGAGGAAAGUGGAAUUCCAUGUGUAGCGGUGAAAUGCGUAGAGAUAUGGAGGAACACCAGUGGCGAAGGCGACUUUCUGGUCUGUAACUGACACUGAGGCGCGAA
rnacentral:rRNA from 1 species